rnacentral:rRNA from 1 species
AUCUACGUCCAUGCCACCCUGAACAAACCUGAUCCCGUCUGAUCUCAGAAGCUAAGCAGGGUUGGGCCUGGUUAGUACUUGGAUGGGAGACCACCUAGGAAGACCAGAUGCUGUAGGCG